CCAUACUAGCUACUAGCUGCUGCAUCUCCAUCUCCAUCUCCAUCUCCAUCUCCAUCUCCAUGGAUGGGUGUGGAUCUCAUCAUCUGCUACCUCAUCUCCAUCAACUGCCUGUCUCCCGCGCCCCCCAGUUGCCACUGAAGAAAGCCGCUGAUCGGUCGAGCAGCUAGCUAGCUAUCUUCGCUUGCUUGCUUCUUGCUUGGAUAAUUAUUAGACACCAUCGUCAGUCAGUUCGAUCAUCGAGAUGGCUUUCAAAGGCGGUCAACCUCAUGUACUUUCAUGGCCCCUAUCUGUCGAUCCCCUCCAAGUCAACAAUGCAGGACUUCCACGCGACUCCCGGGGAUCUUUGGAAGUCUUCAAUCCAGACGCCGCCCCCACCUCGCGGGAGCCCGUCACCUCCCCGUUCCUCAUCGCCGAUGAGGAGGUGCAGGAGGACGACAAGGAUGCUGCCGUGGGGCGGGCCGCGCAAAGGGCCGCCGAGUGGGGCCUCAUCCUCCAGACCGACAAGCACACCGGCCGGCCGCAGGGCGUCACCGCCCGCCCCUCCGGCUCCGGCCACACCAGCGAGAGUGGAAACUCCCUCGACGACAAGGCCGCCGCCGGCAUACCUCGGGUGUCGGAGGAGCUCCGCGCCGCGCUCUCCGCGUUCCAGCAGACCUUCGUGGUGUCCGACGCCACCCGCCCCGAUCACCCCAUCCUCUACGCCAGCGCCGGAUUCUUCAAUAUGACCGGCUACUCCUCCAACGAGGUCGUCGGAAGGAACUGCCGCUUCCUCCAGGGCUCCGGCACGGACCCUGCCGAGAUCGCCAAGAUCAGGCAGGCGCUCUCAGCUGGCUCAAACUACUGCGGCCGUCUUCUCAACUACAAGAAGGACGGCACACCGUUCUGGAAUCUCUUGACCAUUGCCCCCAUCAAGGAUGAGGAUGGCAGGGUCCUCAAGUUCAUUGGGAUGCAAGUAGAAGUGAGCAAGUACACGGAAGGGACCAAGGAUACGGCUGUGCGCCCCAAUGGAUUGCCAGAAUCACUUAUCAAAUAUGAUGCAAGACAGAAGGAUCAGGCCCGUAGCUCAGUCUCUGAGCUUCUGCUUGCCCUCAAGAAUCCUAGAUCAUUGUCUGAAUCAAGAAACAGCACCUUAAAAAGAAAAUCACAGGAAGCAGAAUGUGUCUUUUCGACUCAAGUUCCUGGCAAGAGAACCUCCGAAAGUGGAUCUCGUCGAAGCUCUCUGCAGAAAAUCAGUGAAGUACCCGAAGGAGGGAAUAAAAGUGGAAAAUCUGGCUUGCGUUCAUUUAUAGGUUUUCUUGGUAUGGGCCAUGGAAAUGUAGAGAAGAACAUGCUGAAACCAAGAAAAGAUCUGCUAAUUGACAGUGCCGAUGAAAGACCCGAAAGCUUUGAUGAUGAUUUCAGGAAGAAAGAAAUGAGAAGGGGUAUGGACUUGGCUACUACACUUGAACGUAUUGAAAAGAAUUUUGUCAUCACCGAUCCAAGGUUACCUGAUAAUCCAAUUAUAUUUGCAUCGGAUAGCUUUUUGCGAUUGACAGAGUAUAGCCGUGAAGAAAUAUUAGGAAGAAACUGCAGGUUUCUUCAAGGACCUGAAACUGACCGUGGAACAGUAAAGAAAAUAAGAGAUGCCAUAGAUAACCAAAUAGAGGUCACUGUUCAGCUGAUAAAUUACACAAAAAGUGGUAAAAAAUUCUGGAACCUCUUUCACUUGCAACCAAUGCGUGAUCAAAAGGGUGAUGUUCAGUACUUCAUUGGGGUUCAGUUAGAUGGAACUGAACGUGUUCGAGAUGCUGCUGCAAAAGAUGGUGCCAUGCUGGUUAAGAAAACUGCAGACAACAUUGAUGAGGCUGCAAAGGAACUUCCUGAUGCUAAUUUGAGUCCGGAGGAUCUAUGGGCUAAUCACUCAAAACCAGUCCUACCAAAGCCACAUAUGAAGGAUACUGCAUCAUGGAGAGCCAUCCAAAAAGUUCUUGAGAAUGGUGAAAGCAUUGAUUUAAAACAUUUCAGGCCAGUAAAACCUUUAGGAUCUGGUGACACUGGCAGUGUCCAUUUGGUCGAGUUGCUUGGUACAGGUGAAUACUUUGCCAUGAAAGCUAUGGAUAAAAGCGUCAUGCUUAACCGAAACAAGGUCCAUAGAGCGACCGUUGAACGACAAAUCCUUGAUAUGUUGGACCACCCAUUCCUUCCCACAUUAUACGCAUCAUUUCAGACCAAGACACAUAUAUGUCUUAUUACUGACUACUGCUCUGGUGGGGAACUUUUUAUGCUCCUUGAUAGGCAACCUAUGAAGGUUCUAAAGGAAGAUGCAGUAAGGUUUUAUGCUGCAGAAGUGGUCACAGCACUUGAAUACUUGCAUUGCCAAGUCUAUUCCCCCAACAGGUAUAAUCUACCGGGACUUAAAGCCGGAAAAUAUUUUACUUCAUAGAGAUGGGCACAUUUCCUUGACGGACUUUGAUUUGUCUUGUUUGACAUCCUGUCUACCACAGGUGUUUCUUCCGGAAGAUAAUGAUAGGAAGAAAGGGAGGAAGAAGAGCAGGGGUUCUCCCAUAUUCUUUGCUGAACCAAUGCGAGCAUCAAAUUCGUUUGUUGGUACAGAGGAGUACAUUGCGCCUGAGAUCAUUACCGGAGCUGGGCAUACAAGUGCUGUCGAUUGGUGGGCUCUAGGAAUUCUUCUAUACGAGAUGUUGUAUGGUUACACCCCAUUUAGAGGAAAAACAAGACAGAGGACCUUUGCAAAUAUUCUGCACAAGGACAUCAGAUUUCCUACGAGUAUAGAGGUGAGCCUGGCGGCGAGGCAGCUGAUGUACCGGCUGCUGCACCGAGACCCUGCAAACAGACUGGGGUCCUACGAGGGCGCUUCGGAGAUCAAGCAUCACGCCUUCUUCCGCGGCAUCAAUUGGGCUCUUGUUCGGACCGCCGCACCGCCUAAGCUAGAGGUGGCUGAUACAACUGUUGCUGCUAGUCACACGGAUAUCUUCUAAAUUUUAGAAGAAAAAUGGUAUGAUAAAGUUGGCAAAAAGAAAUCAAUUGAUGGUCAACAUGGUAAUGAUUGUUUCAAAAGUGUUGGCAUGUCGUCAGAAUGUGUGAUGCAAAUGUAAUGUAAUGCUAAUACUCCAACACCAUAUGCUAAUUUACCAUAGUCAUCGUAAUUAAACGAAAUAAACAUGCCUUCUCUCUA